UACGUAGGGGGCUAGCGUUGUCCGGAAUCAUUGGGCGUAAAGAGCGUGUAGGCGGCCCGGUAAGUCCGCUGUAAAAGUCAAAGGCUCAACCUUUGAAUGUCAGUGGAUACUGCCGGGCUAGAGUCCGGAAGAGGCGAGUGGAACUCCUGGUGUAGCGGUGGAAUGCGCAGAUAUCAGGAAGAACACCAACGGCGAAGGCAGCUCGCUGGGACGGUACUGACGCUGAGACGCGAAAGCAUGGGGAGCGAACAGG
rnacentral:rRNA from 1 species